GGGAAGAGCCGAACCCUUCGGCCGGGUCGGAGCCGCCUCAGCCUCGAGGGCACAAGCCCCUCCCGGUGUCCGUGUGAAAACGGGAUCGAGGUGUGGGAGCUGCCGUCCCUGGCAGCUCUGCUCCCGGGCUGCCUCCCUGGAACCUCAUUGCUGUGGAUGUGGGGGAUCCCAGGAUCCUGUGGAAACCCUGGCUGCCCUUCAAACCGCCCCGAGCCCGUCCGGCCCUGCCUCGGGAUCGCCGCCAUUACCGCAGCCCCGUCAGCUGCGGUCAAUGUUAGAGCCCCGCUCCAGAGGGGAAAUUUCCUCGUGAAGUGUGGAGAAAAAAUAUACAUAAUUGAGUUUAUAGCUCGAAAAGUGGUAAAACAGCCCUUGAAGAAGUCAUUAGAUGUGAAUGGACUCAAUGAUUUCUGCCUGAAUCAUCAGCAAGCUUUAAAGACGCACAAUGUGUGCGUGAGGGAAAGGCAGGAGCCCUGGCCGAGGAGUGUUCCUGAAAUCCCACUGACUUUGUUGUUUUUGUAAUUUUAUUUGUAUUUGUCACUGAAACGUGACUGGAAAACUGACACAAAUGCAUUGGAUUUCACACCGCUUCACAAGCAGUGAAGGUGCAAAGGACAAUGAUAUCCCACACCAGCGUUCCUCAUCCACCGCCUCUGCCUUCUGCUGAAGCCGGGACUGUGACACCGUGACCGGGUUUCCUGCUGCUCCACACCUUAUCCUGAGCCGUUCCCAGCCCUUCCCUGGAAUCGCCGCCUCUCAGAGCCGUCAGUGGAGCUGCGUUUGGAGCCUCUCCGCGGGCCGGCUGUGCUGAGCUGGGCUGCGCUGGAAAACCCCCGUGGUUUGUGUUGGACAGUGCCAGCCUGUUUGUGCAGCACCUCAUCCUGUACGUCAUCCUCCUCUGGGCUCCUGCUCUCUGUCACCCCGACAUCUGCAC